rnacentral:sRNA from 1 species
UUUUUUUUCAAUUUUUU